CAGAAGGACUAAUUUUGUUUUCAUCUCAAUCUUGAAUACCUAGCACAAUUACUGUAUCGGUGCUGAAUAAAGGUUUGCCAAAUAAUUUUAUUUUGAAUCCUUGAACGGACGCUUAGCAGUCCAUAGUUGAUUUCUGGGCAUGCAACUCUUUAUGUCUGUAUUAAGAAUGAUAUAUUAUGUGUUUUAUGAAUUUGUAUUUCUGUAUUAAGAGAUAAGAACUCACGUCAAAGUUGUACCAUUGUGAGAAACAAAUAGGAAAGGACAGCCUUAGGCAAUUUUGCAAGAGCCUAUUUUUCCAUUUAAAGUAAACAGCAGAUGUUUUGGGAGGGAAGAUGCCCUUUUCAAUCCUGGGCAUUUUCACAACCAACCAGUGAGAUGAGUGUUGGUACCACUGUUUACAGAGAACAGAACUCUAUGAUUCUGUCACUUGCUAGUGAGCAGGCCUAGCAGAGAGAGGACUAGGUUCAUGGUCCAAGUAAGGAGCUAGUACACAAAGUACUCUCGGUUCUUGCUCAGAGAGGAAAUCCACUCUCAUGGGUCAACCACUUGCAAAGAGCACCUGCUGCUUCGGGAGGCUAACGGGAGUUGUGUUUCUAGUCACACUGUUACCAGGACUCCCUGGAGUCCUCCGCAGCCUUGCAAGGCGCGCCUCUGCCCAUCCCGAGCGUCACUGCGCCUGCGCACAUCAUCCCUAUGACAUCACGGCCUGGGGCCGCGACUGCGUCCGCGCACGUCAUCUUCAUGAUGUCGGGGCCUCCCUGGCCUUCAGUGGCGAUUGCGUAUGCGCCCGGAGCAGCUGGCGGAACAGGUCCUCGGGCGGCGGCUUCCGGUUUGGUGACCGCACCUGCGGCUCCGCUUCUGGUUUGCCUUCUGCCAGCCUCAUCUCUAAGUCCCAGUUCAAAGGCCACCUGUCAUCUGGAUCACUCUUUGAUCCCCUUUGAUCCCCACAGAGAAGGAGAGGCCAGACGGAAUCCCGUAUUCGCUGAGUGCCAAGCACGUUCCAGGGGCACCACGUGUCAUUUUUCCAGCUGAGGCAGGUACCAUCAGCCUUUUCGUACAGAUGGCGAAACCACAGAGCAAGAAGCCGGGAAUCCAUCCAGGGCCCACAUUCAGUCGAGGAACUAACGUGACUCCUAACCCUCUCUGUUAACACCACAUCCUCCCUCAACAGGCUGUAAGCUUCUCGAAAUUAACCUGGAUGUUUAUUUUUGAUCUGCACACUACCCAUCAUAUGGUAUUUCACAAACUGUAAUUACUAAUAAUCACUGAAGGAACACAUAUAGAUCGAGAACCUGAAAUAAAUUUCUGUCCUUAAGAGACUUAAAAUGUAUUUGGAUAAAUAAGAUACUUCAGGAGAGAGCUAAUGAUAUAAAUAAAUUUGACAUAAAUGCCAAUUGAAUUAGAAUUAAGAAGUACUUUUAGGAGUUCAGAGACAAUCCUUUGCAUGCUUAUUUAAUACUUGAUAGUUUUCUUUAAAGGUAACUUAUUUAAAUCUCUAUUUUCUUCUUUCCAUCUCUGAGAUAAUGAAAUUUGCUGAAUGGCCUUCCUUUUGUUAUGGUUUUUCAGGAUGGUAUUCAUUGGUUUACAAUAAUUUCAAUGUUUC
ensembl:lncRNA